rnacentral:lncRNA from 1 species
GGGGGGGGAGCGGUUGCCAUGGCGCUUGGAGCGCGGCCGCAUACUAAUGGGCGGCUACGGACGCUGCCCCCACAGCUGCCCCCCGCCGGCCGCGCUCUCCUCCAACUCCUACCUCCAGCGUCCUCCAAGUCGCCCCACCGCGGCCCACGCACCCCACCCGGGGCCUGAGUCCCUUGCCUGGACCUCCCGUCUGCGCCAGGCAGGCCCAGGGGGCAAAAGGCGGCUCGGGGGUCCGCUGCGGGCAACCUGGCCUGGGCGCAGGCACCAAGCAGGCAUGGCUUCUGGAAGCACAGCUGACAGAAGAGGUACCAGGAACCCCCAGUCUGAUGGAGAUCAGGCAGCUCUGGACACCACAAACAGACAUAGACACACAGGAACAUUUGGCCAUUCCUGGGUGGUUCUUGAAGGCUUCCUAAAAGAGGUUCUGCUGGAGAGUGUCCGAGCCUUUGUGACAAACUGAUGGCCUAAUGGGCAGACAGACAGAGCUUUUCAGACAAAAAAGUCAUUGUCGGACUGAGGAUUUAGCUCAGUGGUUUCGCCGCCUGCUGUGCAAGGGCAAGG